rnacentral:rRNA from 1 species
UACGUAGGGGGCAAGCGUUUGUCCGGAUUUAUUGGGCGUAAAGAGCGUGUAGGCGGUUCGGUAGGUCCGUUGUGAAAACUCGAGGCUCAACCUCGAGACGCCGAUGGAAACCCUCGAACUAGAGUCCGGAAGAGGAGAAUGGAAUUCCUGGUGUAGCGGUGAAAUGCGCAGAUAUCAGGAAGAACACCCGUGGCUAAGGCGGUUCUCUAGUACGGUACUGACGCUGAGACGCGAAAGCGUGGGGAGCGAACAGG